rnacentral:lncRNA from 1 species
AAAUUAUCGAGAUUAUUGUAUUGUUUAUUCUUCCGCUUAAUGACAUUAUACUGAGAUCCAUGCGAAUAGUGAAUUUACUCUUUCGAUAAAUCAUUACUUGGUAGGAUGCUUAGAUUGGUGAAGAGAAUGUAUGAAAUAUUAUGAACUGACAUAAUUUUACUAUCCUAUUGAUAGUUAAUUGAUGCGUUUGGUUGUGAUACUAAAUGUAUUACUCUUACCUGUAAAUGAGUCAAUGGACUCAAGCAUUUGAUGAUUACUUUUGUGGAUUAUUUAAGAAAGUUGAAGAAGGAGUGAAUACCAUGAUCAUGUCUUUCACAUGCAUAUUAAUGUCGCUCUUGUGUUUUUCUUCAGCUUUGGGCAAUCCUCAAUUUUCUGCUAUUCUGAAGCUAAAUGGGACUAAUCACAAACAAUGGGUUCAAUCUCUCAUGAUAAAUCUUACCAUCAUGAAGUUGGACUUGGCCUUGAGAGAGGACUCUCCUUCUAAGCCCAUUGCUGAAACUUAUGCCGAUGAAAAGAAACUUUAUGAUGACUAGGAGUAUUCAAACCGAUGUUGUUUAAUGAUCAUAAGGUAUCACAUGGAGGACUCUAGACAUGAUAGCAUUGCAAAGAUUGAGACUGCUAAGGCAUUUCUAGAAGCUAUCAACAAAAAGUACAAAAAGUUCUCCAAGAAUGAAAAGAAUGAGCUUCUAAGCUCUACAUUCCACUAUUUAUGAUGGUGUCAGUGGAAUUAGAGAGCACAUUGACAAGAUUGUGGCCUGUUAUCACAAAAUCAAGGCAAAUGGUAUGGAACUUGAUGAGGAUUACAUUUUGUGGUUCAUUAAGGGGACUCUUUUCUCACAGUUUGACUCCAUUAGGUCCAGUUACAAUGCUCAGAAAGAACAAUGGACCAUAGAGAAGAUGACUACAAUUCUUGCCAAGGAAGCGAAUAACAUAAAAAUGGGAAGGGCAAGAAGUGUGGCUAUGGUAACGAACCAGAACAACAAUGAUCAGAAAAGAAUGCCUCUACAAAAGAUUACCAAUGACAACAAGCCCUUCAAGAAACAUAACACAAGCAACAAAGCGAAUGGGCAAGGAGCGCUCUUAGUUUCUAAUGUUCCCAAGAAUGAGGGCUUUAAAGGAAAUACAAUUACUGCCAAAAGUUUGGGCACAAGAAGGCAGAUUGCUUAAAGCUCAAGGCUAGAAUGGAAAAGAAAGGUAAUCUUUUAGUGAAUGUUUGUUUGGAGUCAAAUAUUGUUGAUAUGCCUUCUAAUACUUGGUGGUUAGACACUGGUGCUACAAUUCCUGAUACCAAUUCCUUGUAGGAGAUGACAAGCAGAAGGGAACCAACUAGUAUGGAGCACCAUGUAUAUAUGGGAGACGGUACAAGAACUGAAGUUAAAUUUUUGACAGUCAAAUUACAGCUUACCACUAGACAUUUUUUCGAGUUGUAUGAAGUUGCAUACAUACCUUCGAUUAGGAGAAAUUUAAUAUCCGUGUCUAUUUUGGAUAGAACUGGUUACAGUUUUCUUUUGGGAACUGAAAAAGUUAUAUUGUACCGUGACUCUGCUUUGAUCAGAAAUGGAAUUUUAU